UGCAAGUCGUACGCACGCGCUUCGGCGCGUGAGUGGCGCACGGCUGAGUAACACGUGGGAACCCGCCCUCCGGUGGGGGAUAACGCGACGAAAGUCGCGCUAAUCCCGCAUACGUCCGCAAGGGGAAAGCGCUUCGGCGCGCCGGAGGAGGGGCCUGCGGCCCAUCAGGUGGUUGGUGGGGUAACGGCCUACCAAGCCGAUGACGGGUAGCUGGUCUGGGAGGAUGACCAGCCAGACUGGGACUGAGACACGGCCCAGACUCCUACGGGAGGCAGCAGCAAGGAAUUUUCGGCAAUGGGCGCAAGCCUGACCGAGCAACGCCGCGUGCGGGAUGACGGCCUUCGGGUUGUAAACCGCUUUUCGGGGGGACGACUACGACGGUACCCCCGGAAGAAGCCCCGGCUAACUCUGUGCCAGCAGCCGCGGUAAGACAGAGGGGGCGAGCGUUGUCCGGAGUUACUGGGCGUAAAGCGCGCGCAGGCGGUGGUCUCAGUGUCGUGUGAAAGCCCCCGGCUCAACCGGGGGAGGUCAUGGCAAACUAGACGACUGGAGCGGCGGAGAGGCCCCUCGAAUUGCCGGUGUAGCGGUGAAAUGCGUAGAGAUCGGCAGGAAGACCAAGGGGGAAGCCAGGGGGCUGGCCGCUGGCUGACGCUGAGGCGCGACAGCGUGGGGAGCAAACCGGAUUA
rnacentral:rRNA from 1 species